GAAAGGAAUAGAAUCCUGAGAGAAUCUUAAAUGUGAGAAAUGAACUGAGAAAGAACUAGUAAAAGAUCUGGGAAACAGUAAUGAAAAACAGAGGAGCAAAGGAGUGGUAUCAUUUGAGCAAAGAAGAAAAUAAUUUUUAGUAGGAGGCUCUUCUCAUUAUAAGAGAAACACUCUAGAGAAAUCAGGUACCAGUGAUAAAAAAACUGAGUUUCUUUGCCCUUUUUUUGUACCAUAGACCUCUUUAGUAGUCUAGUGAAGCCUAUGGACCCCUUCUCAAAAGAAUAUUAUUAAAUAUAUAAAAGACAAUACAUACAGUAAUAAAUAAAACUACUUACAGUUACUGAAAUAUUAAAAGAUCAUACUAUAGUCAUAUAUGAGUUGCAUUAUUAAUGCCUUAGGUAACAAGAUCAAUCAGGAGGUCCACAAAACAAUGUAAUUUCUCAGUAGUGAUGAAGGAAAACAGGGCUUUAAGAUACCUGCAAUACAACUGUAAUGUGAUAUGGAAAUAUCUGUAGAUAUUAUUGACACUACCAUGGUUUGUUGCCUACAUUCAUAAUUGAAGGAAAUAGUAAAUUUCAGUCAGAGGUUAGUGAAAAUAAAGUAUUUUCCCCAUCCAAAUUCCGAGCCCCCAGGUUAGGGGCCCCUCACCAAGUAACCAAAUUGGUAAUGAGGUCCUCACUGAGUUUUGCCAAAGCAGUUGCAGGCAAGUGGCAGAGGCAAAAACCAGAGCGAAAUGAUGAGAGAAAGGGAGGAGGGGAAAAGGAGGCCAUGAUUACAGGCUCCUCUUUCGAAGCGUUUUUGUGGCCAAAUAAAUGAAAAGGCUUGGAGUAGCUUGAAGGAGAAGAAAUAUCUAGGGGACAUAGAAAUAGAACAUGCCAUCUUCUUGUGACCCAAAAAGUAACGUCAGGAACGAGGCUAAAUCACUGUUGGAAGUAGUUCCUGCCUCGUGCACAGAGGGCAAUAGAUCAGGCCGGGGAGUUACCAACACUGGUUUUAGCAACGCAGGGAGAUGGCAAAGAUCUGCACAGCCUUGGAGUCAGAAUUGCGGGAAAGAAGAGACAAUGCCACAGGAUUCUUUUUCUCUGAAAAAUAACUCUCAUUGUUUAGAAUAGGACAGGUAAUGGCACCAGUCUGAGAUCUCCACUCUUCAUGCAGUGCUGACUGUAGAAAGGACCAUAAAAAGAAUUCUUCUAGUUGGUGGGGAAGACGGAAUGGGGAAACCUGCUCCAGACAUAGCCUUUCUUGUAUAGAUGAGAGAUGGACAAAGGGCAACAAAAGUUAUUUAGCCUAGUAUUGUUCUGGAUCAAGAUUGAGUACAAUCAACAGCUAGCUUUUGAUAUCUGAAGCAAGAGAACCUGAAAAAAAAUAAGGAGUGUGCAUAUAAGAGAUAUAAGAGAGAGAUUUUAAAAAAUGAGUAGCAAGACAGACCUAACUCAUUAAACACAGAACCAAACCGAAAUAAAAAUAGAAAAAGUUACGGCUUCUUAAUAACCAUUGUUUUCUAGCCAAGGACAUUUAAAAAAGGCUUCUAACAUCUGACAGGCUGUGCAGCAGGAGCCUUCUGAGGGUUUGGGGGAAAGUGGACAGAAGGAAAGCUGUGUAGAUAUGCAAAUACCCUAUUCAAAUCCAGGCUUCGUUUUCCUGCAACUGAGGGUAAUUAAGUGGUUAGAGAACCGCCUGUGAACCUCCUCUUCUCCUCAGAAACAAUCGAGGAUUUGUUGGCUAGUUGACUUCAUCCGGCCUAACCCAGACCAAGAUAAAUCCAAUUAAACAUCCACCGACACAAAAACCAGAGCUUGUGCGAUACUGGGAGCGACUCACAGAGAGCCUGGGGGUGGGGGGAGCUGGAAUUCUUGUGCAAUGCUUUAUACUCUGAGACGGGAACUCAUAAGAGGUCUUUGGGCUCUGGCAGAACCUAAAGGAACAAUUACGCCAUAAUUGAACAUUGAUAAUUGAACAUUGUUUAUGAUGUUCAAUGUUCACUGAUAAUUGAGCAUUGCUUAUUGCUUUUCUGUGCAAGGAGUUCACAGCCCUUUACAGAAGGGACCUCCACCAGCCUCACCACACCUCUGUGCUCUCCACCAGCCAGACUGCGCUAUCAGCCCACAUUCCAACUCCAGAGCCACUGCACAGAAUAAACCAAGGCUGGAUUCCUGGAGACAAUGUGGACUGAAUGCCACGUAUAAGCCAGAGAGUUCUGUGCUCUGAAGGAAGAUGACACUCAGCUUUCGGGUAACCCCAGAUCUCAGGAAUCAAGUCUCCAGUGAAGCACAGGCAGAGAGAAUUGUGCCCCUCACACAUGUCAGGGUCUUUUGUACAUCUGGAUACUGAGGCUGUUAGCCUUGCAACCUGAGGGCCAUGAGGUCCAGCUCUCUCAUAGGCAGUAAAGACUCAUGGAGAGCUCAAGACAAGAGCCAUCAUUUGGUACAAGUUCAAGAGUGUGGAAGAUCACCUGCAAAGAUGACCACCAAUCAUCCUCUCAACGUCGUGCACAUGUGAGCGAGCAUGCCAUGCGAGAGACAGACUCGUUCCCCUCCACUUGCAUCUCGCUUUGACCAGUAGAACACAGUAGAGUCUCAUCGUGUGACUUACAGGUCUAGGUAAGAGGCCUUGCUAGUUCUCUUUUCUCUCUGAGAAACCAGCCACCAAGUAAAAAGCUUAGGCUAGAUUACUUACCAAAUGAUGACAGAAUGCCUGGAGACAGGUCACACGGAGGAGAACCAAGGUAUCCCACUGACAGCCAACACUCGACCCCAGACCAUGACAGACCCUCCCCCAGCCAACUCUCAGAUCGACAAACAAGUGGCUCCAGCUCACAGCAGGAGAAGCAGAGCCUCCUACCUGAUCACAGAAGUAUGAGAAGUAACAAAGCAUUGUUGUUUUAAGUCCCUAAGCUUGGGGAUGGCUUGUUACACAGCUUGUUACACUGAUACAAAAGAGAGUGUUACCCCCCAUGGUUCUCAGACACAGGACACAGGAUCCACCAUGUCAAUGCCUCCCUCCAGGAGACACCCAAGCCUCGACCACAAUCAGGGAAGAUGCCUACCUGUAUUUUCAGCUUCUGCUUGAAGAUGCUUACUUAGCCCUGGGUACCCAUCCUCUUUGAGCUAACUGCUUUAGGCUCUCCUUUGAGCUUGUUUUUAUUAUUAGUUUCUAUCUUGUAUAUUAACUUUAAAAGAGCAAAGAAGAAAUAACUUGCAGGGAAGAGCCAUGAAGAUAACCCAAGCCCGAACAGAGGAGCCUGGAUGGAUUUCCUCACCAUUAAUUGGCUCUGCCAAUUCACUAUAGUUAAAUUCCCAUUUUCCACUCCUAAGUGAAUUUCUUAUUACUAAACUCUGUAGUAAAAAUAAUAAUAGCUCACAUUUAUUGCAUUCUUAACAUGUGUAAGGCACUGUGCCAAGCGUUUCAGAAGUAUGGUUUCAUUUAAUUUUUUAAACAACUAAAUGAAGCACAUCCGAUUCAUUCAUUUAUCAAAUAUUAAUCAGCCGGGCACCGUUCCAGGUACUGAAGAUACAUAAAUAAACAACAUUGACAGAGACCCUGCUCUCGUGGCGCUUGCAUUCCAUGUUGGAGACAGGCAGGAAAUGCAUAGUGUGUAGGAAGGUGAGAAAUUCAAACGACAGAAGACAUACAGGAGAAUAAGAGCCUUCCAAAUCAGGUGACAUUUGAGCAGGGAGUGAGGGUGUCAGCCUUGGGGAUGGAUAUAUGGGAAGAACACUCCAGGCAAGUACCAUUUCCUGAGCCAGGAACACUCUUACUGUGUUCUAGGAGCAGCAAAGAGGUCCAAAUGGCUGGAUCAAGAAUGUUUAGUGGUGAGGCCAGACAGGUACCAAGGAGCCGGAUUAAGGAGGGCCCCCUAUGCCACGGUAAGGACUCUGGCUUUAUUCAGAAUGAGCUGGGAAGGCACGGGAGACUUUCCAUCUCACCUUUUUAAAAAAUUACUCUGGGCCAGUGGCGGUGGCUCAUGCCUGUACUUCCAGCACUUUGGGAGGCCAAGACUGUUGAUUGCUUGAGCUCAGGAGUUUGAGACCAGCCUGGGCAACAUGGUGAGACCCCAUCUCUAUAAAAAAUACAAAAAAAAAUUAGCCGGGCUUGGUGGCGCAUGCCUGUGGUCCCAGCUACUGGGGAGGCUGAGGCGGGAGGAUUGCUUGAGCC
rnacentral:lncRNA from 10 species